CCUUGCAUUAUCAAACGCUUCCCCGUGUGUCUCUUGUGCGUCAUUAAUAUACAUGUAUUAUAUGUGUAGACACUUUGUCAUCGCGAGCGCUGGACAGGAAGUCGACACUGUUUUUAGUAUAACGAAAGUGUGUCAGUGAGCAGCGAGUGCGAGCCAAUGCGCUCCGCGCGGCCAGAUCGACUCCAAACUCUUGCACCUCUCUCGCUCUUUUUUCGCAACCGCAAAAUACGAGCAUUUUUUUUAGCGCCGAUUUAUCCGGCCCGGCUGGCUUCCUACCUUCGAUCGUAGCUCCCUUUCAAAGAUUCCGCUGCUUAACGUCGACGACAACGACAUCGAUAAGCGACAAUGACUAUACUGAUGCUGCUGAUUCUCGCCAAAAUGAUGACAACACCAUGAUUUUGAUUGUGCGUGAAAACAUUUAAAAAGACGUGUGAAUCAUUAUAUAAACAAUCCCAAAUGUUGCAGUUUAUCAAUAACCAAUUGGCUUGAAAAGUAACAAAAUGAUACCAAGAAAAAAACUGCAUUUACUGCUUUUCAUGCUGCAAAUAUCUUAUAUUUUUGGAGACUAUGAUACAAGUAUCGACAACUUACUCUUAAGCACUGACUUCAAAGAGAAUGUCAUUGAUGAUUCUUUCAAUGCUAAUGAAAAAUUCAGCAAAAUAGAUAAAACAGUCGAAAAUGCGAAAAAAGAUUACUUACCACAGACUACCACUAUUGACAUUCGUGAAGAGACAACUACUUCAGUGUUUGAAUCAAGCACAGACCCAAGUUCAGAAGGGGAAAAGGCAAUAGAUAUCAACUUACAAAUCGCUGAUAUUAAUGCUACUUUUGCAAAUGUAUCAUGGAAUUAUGAAGGCCAGAAUGUAACUUUUAUUCUCAAAGAUGAUCUCGAAAUCAAAUUACAAAUAAAGCUUAAUAAAUCCGAAAAAUAUCAGGAAAUCAAUAAUCUAGAGCCCUGUUACAAUUAUAUAGUUGAAUUGAUAUUGGACGACGAAAUCUUGAACAAAAAUUUUACUAAAAAUUUUACCACGUCAUAUUAUCCUCCAGGGAAACCAAAUAAAUUAAAAUCGUUUGCAAAUCAAAACAAUUCAUUGAGAAUUGAAUGGGUUAAACCUAAAUAUGCAAGCAAUUGUGUAAAGGGCUACAAAAUUGAUUUAGAUUUGACUCACAUGGAACAUAAACAUGUUGGACCUGCUUAUACUAAUGAAACUUUUUAUGAAUUUGAAAAUCUAUAUUCUUGCACUGUCUAUUUGGUAUCAGUAGUUGCAGUGGACUCAUCAAACAGCGAAUCCGAUAAAGUAGCUACAAUAGAAUCUGCACCGACCUUAGCAACAAUUUCUCAAUCGCCUGUGCUAAGCAAUGCUACUCAAUAUAUUACUAAAAACUCGAUAAAUGUGACUUGGAAUGCUCUUGACCCAUCAAAUAAUUGUACUUUGAAAGAGAUUUACUUUAAUUGCUCGUGGGAUAAGACUCAUGGCAUGGGAUAUGAUGUUUUCAACAGCAAUGUUACUGUCAGUAUUGAAAACAAGACUAUUGAUGAACUUCAACACAUCUCUACCAUUGUUGAUAAUGUAUCCCCAUUUACCGAUUACAUCUGUCAAGCGUUGAUAAAAAAUGAGGCUGGAUCAAGCAAUUGGAGCACACCAGUACUUAUUACAACAGAAGAAGACCUUCCAGGGGAACCGUUGAACUUUCAAACGUACAAUAAAAAUCAUGGAAUCGAAUUUACUUGGGAGCCUCCGAAAAUAAUGCCAGGUAGAUUUAUCGGUUAUAGAUUAGAAUAUACUUGGGAACCACUGUACAUGGUACCCACGCAUUGCAAAGGAUCAAAGCCAAAACGUAAAGUGUGCUCUAUACCAGCCACUAAUAAAUCGUGGACUGAAAAUGAAAAUGAGAUAAGUGCCUUCUACGAAACAAAACUUGCAGCUGCUACAUCUAUUGGUGUGGGUCCAUAUGUUUUUAGUAAAUUUUCAAGUAAUAAGGUGGGAAUUCCUUCAGCGGUAACGAAUUUACAAUGCCGAACGCAGACGUCAAAAGAGGAUUUAAAGCUAUUAGACACAAUUUUGACUUGGCAACUGCCGUGCUCCUUACGAGGCAACUUGAUAAGUUUUUCCGUCGAGUACUCGGGGGAAAGGGAUUGCGAAGGUUGUUCACCACACAAAGGUGUGACAGAACUAAACAUCGAAUACGACAUCACGAACCCAGACGAAGUGUUUUCGAUAAACCUGGGCGAACUGAAACCAGCUUACAACUACACUUUUACUGUGCGAGCAAAGUCAACGGCUUCGGACGAUUAUGGAGAUCCGUCUCUCAUUAACAUGAUAUAUCCAUCUGGGCUUCCAGCGAUGCUCCCAGCUGAUUACAUACAGAUCUUGGGCAUGGGCGAUUACAGAAUGGAUCAUACCUCUCGGAGCGCCACUUUGCUCUUGCCGAUUUUCGACGACUCGAACGGUCCGGUCCAGUUUUAUGCCGUUAUGGUUACAGCUUUGAGCCCGCACAAUUGGACCAGCGAGGGCCGAUGGAACGUUCAUAAACAAGGCUGGCCGGCUACUUUUUCGUGGAAAAACGCCUCUGACAAUGAUUUCACGCUUGUCUAUCAAGCGACUGUGCCAUUUUGGAGUCUAAAAGAUGCAGAGAUUGCCGAGUACGGAGGAUUUUCGGCCGUCAAGUACACAGUCGGCAAAGAUACGACAUGCGCCUACAUGGAAUUUCGUUCAGAAUCAAAAGCUUACUGCAACGGACCCCUCAAACCCAAUACUUGGUACGAGGUAAAAAUGCGAGCUUUCACCUCUGAUGGGUAUAUCGAUUCACCGACGUUUCGCAUUAAAACUGAUCCGGAAUUAAAUCUCACACUGACGAUCGGUGCAUUAAGCGGAAUUUUGUUGAUAGGUUUCCUGCUGACUGUAGUAUUUGGCUUAAAACGCUUCUCUCUGUGCGAAUUUUUCAAUUGCGCCCGACUGAAAUUCCGACGCACCCCGGAACCCAAUCCGAUGACGAUACGCAAAUUUAUGAGGCACUGUAAAGUCAUUAAGGAUAAUCCUGGAAAGCUGAGCAACGAGUACCAGAUGCUCCAGACGCUCAGCUUGGACCUCAUUUUGCCCUGCAACGCUGCUUGCUUGAGAAUCAACCGUUCCAAAAAUCGAUACUCCGACAUUCUGCCUUAUGACUUUACCAGAGUCAAAUUGAGCAUUUUGGAUGGAGAUUCUGCUACAGAUUAUAUCAAUGCCUCGUACAUCAGGGGUUACUCUGGCAGAAAUGAAUAUAUAGCCUGUCAAGGACCAAAAUCUGAUACUUGCUACGAUUUUUGGAGAAUGAUUUGUGAACUUGAAAUUGAAUUUGUAGUCAUGCUCACAAAUUUGGUAGAACAGGGAAGGGAAAAAUGUUUUCGUUAUUGGCCACACAUGGGCGAGACUGCGGAAUACGGAGACAUCAAAAUAACGUCCAUAAAAACCAUGUAUUUUGGAACAUUUGUCAAACGCUGCUUCACCGUUGAACGAGAUCAUUAUCAAAAAACAGUAAGUCAAUUACAUUUCGUCAAGUGGCCUGAUCAUGACAUACCUGACGGUUACGAGCAAACGCUUUAUUUCGUCAAAUAUUAUCGAAAUCAACUUAACAUGAAAAAAGGAUUAUCGGUCGUGCAUUGUAGCGCUGGUAUCGGGAGAACUGGGACUUUCAUAGCUAUUGAUAUGGUACUGCAACACAUUGAGAAUCAUCGAAGGAUAGAUAUUUUUCGUACAGUUUAUGGUAUGAGAAGAGAUCGAGGCUUAAUGGUACAACGCGAGAGUCAAUAUGCUUUCAUUUAUUUUUGCGUGCAUUAUGCCCUGAAAAAUCCAGCUCUCUACGAGACUAUGAGGAAAGACAGUCUAUCGACUUCGAUCGAUUCAAUGAUACCAUUGUGUCAAUCCUCACCCCAAGCUUCACCAAAGAUUUUAAUGAAUGGUAACUCGUUAUUCUUAAUUUAAAUUUUAUAUUAAUUAUUUUAAUAAUAUAGUAAAAGGAUUGAGACACAGCCAAUCAGCGGGUGCCAUUGAUACUAGAUCCGAUCACAAUCGAAUUGAAAGAUAUAAUAGCGAAGGUUAU
rnacentral:misc_RNA from 1 species